CAUCGCCCGUCACACUAUGGGAGAGCUAGCCAUGCCCGAAGUUGUUAUCUUAACCGCAAGGAGGAGGAUGCCGAAGGGAGGGCUAGUGACUGGAGUAAAGUCGUAACAAGAUAGCCGUAUUGGAAGGUGCGGCUG
rnacentral:ncRNA from 1 species